rnacentral:rRNA from 1 species
CCAGAUUGAUCAAACUAGUAUUCAUAUGCUUUUAUCAAUAAUUAAUCCAUGCAUGUGUAAGUAUGAACAAAUUCAGAUAGUGAAACUGCGAAUGGCUUAUUAAAUCACUUUUAGUUUUUUUUUAUAGUAUCUACUACUGGAAUAACUAUAAUAAUUCUAGAGCUAAUAUGUGUAACAAAACCCGACUUCUCUACGGGAUGCAUUUCUUAGAUAAAAGGUUGAAGGGUCCUCUGCCUGUUGUUGCGAUGAUUCAGGAUAACUCGUCAGAUCGCACAUCCAUCGUACUAGAGAUAUAUCAUUCAAGUUUCUACUCUAUCAACUUUUGAUGGUAGGAUAGUGGCCUACCAUGGUAGGGAUGGGUGACAGAGAAUUAGGGUUCGAUUUCGAAAAGAGAGUUGGUGAAAUAGCUACCAGAUAUAAAAAAGGCAGCAAGCGUGCAAAUUACCCAAACCUGACACGAAGAGGUAGCGAGGAUCCAUUGGAGGGUAAUUCUUGUGCCAGUAGCAAUGAUAAUUCCAUCUCCAGAAGCAUAUAUUUAAUUUGAUGCAGUUAAAUGCUCAAAGUUGUACUCAGGAAUGGGUCAACCGAUCCACCUAUGUUAUGCACCGGUCAUCUCGUACAUUCUGUCAAUGAUGGGAUCCUAGCCUUAACUGGUCGGGUCAUACCUCCAAUGCAAUUACAUUACAGAAAUUAGAGUGCUCAAAGUAAGUCUAUGCUCUAUCUAAAUUAGCAUGGGAUAACAUUAUAGGAUUUUAGCCCUAUUACGUUGGCCUUCAGGUUUAGAGUAAUGAUUAAUAGGGAUAGUCAGGGGCAUUUGUAUUUCCUACUCAGAGUUGAAAUUCUUGGAUUUAUGAAAGACGAACAACCACGAAAGCAUUUCCCAAGGAUGUUUUUAUUAAUAAAGAACAAAAGUUUUGGGAUCGAAGAUGAUUAUAUUCUUUAUGAGUCUCAAGUAUAAAUGAUGAACCAGGAAUUGACAGGUGUUUCUUUUGGGAUUCUGCCGGCACCUAAUGAGAAAUCAAAGUUUUGAGUUUUAGAAGGAGUAUGGUUGCAAGGCUGAACUUAAAGGAAUUCACAUAAGAGCACCACCAGGAUUGAAUCCUGUGACUUAAUUUUACUCAACACAUGGAAACUUACUAGGUCUAGACAGAGUAUAGAUUAACAGACUGAGAUCUCAUUCUUAAUUCUAUGGGAGGUUGUAUAUAGCCAGUCUUAGUUGGUGGAGUGACUUCUCUAGUUAAUUCCGUUAAGGAACGAGACCACAGCCUGCUAACUAGCUAUGUUGAGGUAUCUCUUCGUGGCCAGCUUCUUAGAGGGACUAGACCUUUUAGGCUGUGGAAGUUUGAGGCAAAACUGGUCUGUGAUGCCCUUAGAUGUUAUGGGCCACACACACGCUACACUAAUAUAUUCAACGAGUUUGUAGCCUUGGACGACAGGACUGGGUAAUCUUUUAAAUUUAUUGGUGAUGAUAAUAGGUCACAGAAAUUGUUGGUCUUGAAUGAGGAAUUCCUAGUAAGCACGAGCCAUUCGCUCGCGUUGACAACGUAUCUGCCCUAUCUACUCAUUGCCCGUUGCUUCUAUUAAUUGAAUGAACCAGUAAAAUAUUUAGAUCACGAUGACAUGGGUAGUUUACUGCCUGCGGUGUUGCGAGAAGUCCAUUAAACUUUAUCAUUUAUAGGAGGAGAACUCAUAACAAGGUUUCUGCAAGUGAAACCGCAGAAC